UGUGUGGCCUAUUUUCCAAACGGGACUGGG
rnacentral:piRNA from 1 species